rnacentral:rRNA from 1 species
UACGAAGGGGGCUAGCGUUGCUCGGAAUUACUGGGCGUAAAGGGCGCGUAGGCGGACAGUUUAGUCAGAGGUGAAAGCCCAGGGCUCAACCUUGGAAUUGCCUUUGAUACUGGCUGUCUUGAGUUCGGGAGAGGUGAGUGGAAUGCCGAGUGUAGAGGUGAAAAUUCGUAGAUAUUCGGCGGAACACCAGUGGCGAAGGCGACUCACUGGCCCGAUACUGACGCUGAGGCGCGAAAGCGUGGGGAGCAAACAGGG